AAUUCUCCUGGAGUUCAGUACUUAAGUUAAUGAAUUUAGUUUAAAUAUAAAUAUGAUAAUAUUCUGAUGAUUGUUCAGGUUAGUUGUUGAUGUUCUUUGGUUCGGAUGGAUAAAAGAUAUUUUAAUGUAAAAAACAGCUGAAUCAUAAAGAACAUUAGCUGCAGUUCAGAUAUUUAUAUUGAACAUGUUUCAGUCACAUGUCAGCUGCUCAGGAUUAACGACCGGGACGACACAGCGCUCGCUCUCGUCCGCCUGUUCCGGAUCAUUCCUGCUCUCCCAGAAUUCCCAGUCCGGGACUCCUCGUUAGCCCAGUUCUGUUCCGAGGGAAGACGAUGGAGGCGGACGGAGAUCAUUCCAAGGACGAAGCUGGCAGGUUAUUCCCAGCAGUGACGGGAGGGGAGAGGCGAGGACGUCACAGUCGGUCCUGUCUCAGCCCAAAGUGGGUCAGCCUCCACACACCUGAGCUGAAAAUGCUAAUUCGUCCCUACUGAAGAAUUUCUGAUGAAACUGCAUCAUUAAUCACUUUUCUCAGCAAUUUGUAUUUGCAAUAAUCCAGGAUUAUCUACACUGAAGCUGCAGGCUUCCUCGUGUUGUGACGAGCGCCGUGGUAACAGACGCCUCCGGCCUGCGUUUCCUCUCAGGGUGAAAUCAUGAGGCGAUGCAGCAGCAGCAGAGCUUCAGCAGGCGUCUGCACACUUUGUCCAGCGUGUCGGACCGACAAACUGCAGACGGAGCCGAAUCACGCUCGUUUACAAGGCGGCCGCCAAAACACAACCUCGGCUUUUCUCGUGAAUGUGCCCGAGUCUGCUGGUGUUCAUGUGCAGAGACCCUGGUGAUGCUACCAGCAAAGUUUCAUGUUGUGUCGAGACUUCUUACUGUUUUAGAAAUACAGAUUUUGUUUCUAACAUUACAGUGCCCGCAGCACUCCCACUGACAAUGAGAUUGACCCGAAAACGAAAAUACAGUAAAUCUUAAAAAUGGCUCUUCCAUCGUAAUUCUGCUUUUAAACAAACCUUUGACUCACAUACAUUCACAAAAGAAGCCGAGGUUUCAUUUGGGUGAGAGCUUCAGUUUCAGGAGCUCUGGUGCCGUUAACGAGCAGCUUCAGUGUUUCAGCUGGUCUGAUCUGUGUUCAGCUCUCUGUGGAGCAAAAACACCCGACAAACCGUCUCUGAUGUUUAAUGAAAGUCAGACGGAGCUUUUAAUCAACACGAUAUCAGAGUUGUGUUGUUCUGUGUUUGAAACAUCAGCCGAACAUUAAGAGUCCAGAGUCCGUCUGCUGUUCGACCUGCAGGAAUAAAGUCGUUCCUCUCGUCUGUUUUUCAUCUUUUGACAGAGAGAAUAAAAGUUUCUCUGAUGGCUGUUAGAAGAGAAAUGUUCGAUGAUUGGACAGAAAAAGCCGACGAUGCGAGGCUCAGCGUGGUCGUCUGUCUCAGGCUGCAGGACGCUGGAUUUAUAUUCUCUGAUGUAACUGAGUGUGACUGGAACUCGUCCUCUGUUCCUGCAGCAGCUGUCUGUACCAUCAGAUAAACCAGCGCUGCGCUGACAGACUGAUGACGAGCAGCCAGGAAACAUCCGGAAACAUCCGGAAACAGCCGGAAACAGCUGGAAACAGCCGGAAACAGCUGGAAACAGCAGGAAACAGCUGGAAACAGCAGGAAACAGCUGGAAACAGCAGGAAACAGCUGGAAACAGCAGGAAACAGCUGGCGCUCAGACGAUGAAUGAGACGCGACGAGAUGGAGGCAGAAAAACUACAGAUGAGAUCAGACGAUGGAAAAUUUAAUGUUUUAUAUAUCACAGAUUAAUGUUUGAUGCUGUUUGUUUUUAAGUUGGAUGCUGAUGAUGAUGAUGAUGAUGAAGAGCUCAUGAAUCUUUCUGUCUUAGAUAUAAAGUUUAGUCACUGUUACUGUCCUCUUACUGACUGUAACAUCCUCCGUGUGAUCUCACAGGGGAAGUCCAGUCCAGUGUUUUUAGUCCCGGGCCUUCUGUUUGCAUGCUUCAGGUUCUGGAUGUGGUUCAGUCGAUCCUCGUGGACCACUUCAGCCGUCAGGGCCAGUAAAAGUUCCUGUUGUUCACACAUCCACAUCUCUGAUCAUUGUGGGAAUAAACCAAAGAAUAAACAAAGA